rnacentral:lncRNA from 1 species
AGAAGACGGAGCAAGAAAACGAGAGAGAAUAGUUUGAAAUCUUACUUGUACUUAUACAAUAUCAGCAGCAACAACACUGAUCAAGAGGUUGGAAUUCAAUCUCAUCAAUUUUAUCUCUAACUCCACCUUCAAUUUUUCACUUCAUCAAUCUGUUUUCUAUUUUUUUCUUUUUAAUUAAAAAAGAAAAAGGGUAUGAAAAACAUAGAUUUAGAUCUGAAACUGUGUUUGGAAGAAGAAAAAGAGAAUGAAAAACUAACUUGAUGCAGUACGAGAGAAGAAUCGAUAGUUUUGAAAACCAUGGAUUUCCUUCUUCUGCCAUGCCAGUACCAUCGAUGUCCCUACUUCUUCCUGGUGUUUCGGUUCGUAAUUACCGAAUCAGAGCGACUUCGGUUUGUGAUUACCGAAACAGAGAGAGUUCGGUUCGAGACUAUCGAAACGACGACAUUUCUUGAUUUUUUCCUAAGUCAACACGAAUUCAAUAAUUAGGAAAGGAA